GACAAACCACAGACCCUCCACACUGAGCUACUGAGAGGAAGGAGGAGGGUUUAACUGUCGCAUUUGAGCAGAAUGAUAUCACACCUUUGUGUGCCACGAUGGGACAAACACUUCUUCUGUGGCUGCUCCUUCUAAUGUUUCUCCUCUGCUCCACAACAAAUCAAGAGAUCCUGCAGCAGCUGCCACCUCCUCAUCAGUGAGAAGAACCUCAGCAGACGGCCGACACGGAUCGAUCAGGAGAAGAGGUUUUGGUGGCAGCAGUGUGAGCAGAGAAGUCCAGAGUCACCCUGAUCAACUCUUCUAGCUCAUCUGGGGAAACAGAGUCAUUCCCAAGCAUGCAGAGAAAAACCUAACCUAGGAGACAUCCUAUUCAGAUGCCAGAGCCACCAUAACUGUCUCCCUUUAAUGUGGAGGAGCAGUGGUCUACUCCGACUCCCUCUCGAAUGAGAGAGCUCCUCAGCCUGUCAUAAUAGGAACGUGGUGGGAACGUAGACUAACCACUUGCUCCUCUGUAUCUUCUCUGUGAUAAACAGAGCCGGUGCAUUUUUUUCUCAUGUUUACCUCCUGACAGUCAAACGUCUUUAUUCUGUGUUUGUGUUCAGAUGUUUCAUUAGAGACAACAGUCAUCUACUCCUCACUGAAGCUGACUGACACACCUUCACCACAGCUCAGAUUCAAAAAAUGAGAUUGUUUCUUCACCUGACAAAGACGAAGAAGAAGAAGAUAUCUUUGCAACCAGCUGCAGUCACAGUCUUAAACAUAUUAAUAGACAAUGGAAAUGGCUGCACUGAACACAUACUUUAAGAAGAGGGGGGAAUAUAGGAGGACAUAAAGGAGUGGAGGAAGGCGCACACUUGGACUACAUCUUAUGCUGAGGGUAUAAUCUGAAAGAGAUUGCAAGGUGGUGUCAGGGAGAAGGUAGCUAGGCAACAUGAGAUGGUAGUGUGUGUGAUGACUUUGGACAACAGCAGGAGGAAGUGAGUGAGAGCAAAGACAAGAUUAAAUGGCGGAAGCUGAAGUCGGCGGUUUGAUUAAAUUUGGUGUAAAAUUUUGUGAAGUAAUAGGGAUUAAUAAAAAAAAAAAACAUACACAGGUUUGAAGGGAACACCAUGAAUUUAAUGUUUCCCUGUUACAGACACAGAAUAGCUGUUAGUUACAAAAACGUGAAAAGUGAAAAGUUUACUUGUUUUUUCUGUAAUUUUAAAUGUGACAUAUAAUUAAAUAAACAAUAUCAAAAUGUU